rnacentral:misc_RNA from 1 species
GAUGAAGAACGUAGCGAAAUGCGAUAAGUAAUGUGAAUUGCAGAAUUCAGUGAAUCAUCGAAUCUUUGAACGCACCUUGCGCUCCUUGGUAUUCCGAGGAGCAUGCCUGUUUGAGUGUCAUGAAAUUCUCAACCUUUUCAGCUUUCUUUGUUGAUCAGGCUUGGAUGUGGGAGUAUGCGGGCUUCUCAGAAGUCGGCUCUCCUGAAAUGCAUUAGCGGGACCUUUGUUGCCUGGCUUUGGUGUGAUAAUUAUCUACGCCAUUGUAGUCAAGCAGCUUAAAAUAAGGUUUCAGCUUCUAACCGUCUCCCCUGAGACAACUUUUUGACAAUUUGACCUCAAAUCAGGUAGGACUACCCGCUGAACUUAAGCAUAUCAAUAAGCGGAGGA